UCAGUGGCUUGAAUCAUAACUGUCCUUGUUAAGAUGAGGACACCAUCACUUGGAGCAAUUAUGUCAAUUACUGUGGAAACAGCUACCCAGAACGUCCGCCGUGAUCUCGCAGUCUGUGAGGAAGCCCGACUCAGUGCUGGCCUCCUUGGUGAUAAUUUCCUCAUGAGUUCGUUCGCGCGGACUAUUGCCGUGCCGAAACAGUUACUGUGAACAGCGGUUGGAAAACGCUUGUACAGAUAUUUCGAUUGGUUCCUUGUGCAGAUUGUGUGUACUACGAAGAAUGAAGUGAGUAAUUAUUAAGGACAGCUUUCAUAAAGUUCUGACCCCUAAUUAAUUUGAAGGGCCCAAGCAGUUAUGUAACAAGGUGAAAUAAGAAAAUUUACUGCGUAAACAUGCAAAGAAAGAAGUAAGUUGCAGAAAUAUAAAACAAAUUAAGUGUAUAGAACCAGCGUGCGCUAUGUGUUCUUUAAUCUAAAGGAGACAUGUGGUGUUGUAUAUAGUAUUAUAACUUUCCAUUUUCUCCGUCUUUAUCAAACGUAACCAGGAAAAUAAUCCCAUUGUUCAGGCUGGAACGAGUGAUUACACAAAAGACAACUUCUACCAAGGUUUUAAAGUCCUUACAAAAGACACCUGAUAACGAUUAUAACCACAUUUACGUGUUGUAUAGCCACUAUUGUAUCCUGUUGAAGCAAGAAAACUUUUGGAAUACAACUUCUAAUUACAUCCUCAAGCAGAGAGUGAGUUCUCAAAUUGCCAUUAGAAAAAGAUGAUCCAUGACAUUUUCGUUUUCUGGAAAAAUUGCUGCAGUUUGUUAUUGUGUGUUAUGCCUCUUAAAAUUAGAGGUAUGUUGGAUGGCACCUCGUGCCCUUUUGUAGGCUGACUUUUAAGACAGUUCAACAAAGUAUAAAAGCAAAGUAGACUGAAAAAGUUAGGCCUAGGCUCAAGAACCGACGUUAGAGUGGGGAGAUGUUUUGGGAAACGUAAGAACCCCUUUGCACCGAAGGCAGUAUGGAGAGAUCAGAGACGGUUAAAAAUUAGCAUGUAAAGUACGUAAUUGCCUGAGACGAUUACGAAAUAUCCUCCGGAUACGACAAAUGAAUGAAGCUAGCAAUCCUCAUUACAUUUGCCCAUGUCUAACGAGAGGUUGACGUAAACAUCACGGGCAUUCGUCUCUAAUACUAGGCCUACUUUUGUGAACUUGUAACUCCUGAUGCUUUUCCCGGUGGAUCGACUUUGGCCUUUCCUUUGCUAGAGGUUUGAAGAUGGAGUCGCUACACCGUGGCUACGUUUUCAUUUGCUAAUUGGUGUUAAAAAUAUGAAUUUUGACAACGCCGCAGUUCCCAAGGACUCAAGCCCAUCAACCGCCAUUCCUCCGUCGACGCCAUCGAUGACAUCAAGGACUCUCUGGAUUCGCCCGGGCUCCCCAACACAAUCAGGAGAAGACCAAUCAAGAAGCCUCCGGUGCG